rnacentral:rRNA from 1 species
UACGAAGGGGGCGAGCGUUGUUCGGAAUCACUGGGCGUAAAGGGCGCGUAGGCGGCGGGGCAAGUCGGAUGUGAAAUCUCAGGGCUCAACCCUGAAACUGCAUUCGAUACUGCCUUGCUCGAGGACUGGAGAGGAGAUUGGAAUUCACGGUGUAGCAGUGAAAUGCGUAGAUAUCGUGAGGAAGACCAGUGGCGAAGGCGGAUCUCUGGACAGUUCCUGACGCUGAGGCACGAAGGCCAGGGGAGCAAACGGG